CCUGAACUGGCUGCAGGGGAAGAGUCCGAGCCCUGGGAUUCGUGCACCUAAAAGCAAGAGAUGUUGUGUCACCAGCAGCUAACAGAAGCAAUGCAACUCUGAACUUGGGUCUUGGAAGGGCCUGCUACCAGCCCAGAGUGGAGACAAGAGAACUGUGUCACCCAGAAGGACACAAGCCUGAGGGCAGGCUGGGGCACUGCCAGGGACCGACAUGCCCCACGUCCACCCUGCAAGAGCAAAGUCACCCUUUCCUACCUAACCAAGCAGCCCCCUAUGCAGGCUGGGCAGUGCUCAGAGCAGCCCUGCUGGAGGUUUGGCACUGGCUUUACCUUCCAGGCAAGAUUAUUGACCUUUCCAGUCCAGUAUUUAACAACCCCCAUUCAUCCCCACUUUCCCCUUCCCUUCCACUUCAUUCCCUUUGUUGCUCUGUAAUAGGAGAGGCAACAGGGCACAUAUUUCUGUAGAACAAAGCAUUAUCAUCCUAAUUAUAGUUUCCUGGUGUUUUCUUCACUUUUACCAUUAUAUUAAAAGCCAUUAGCUGAGAGGAACUACCUUUUUUAAUCUCUACCCUAUUGUUCUCAUCUCUCCCCGAAUCCGAGGUCUUUUUAGAGUCUAUUUUAUUCAUAAUUACAUGUGUUGGAACAACUGCUCAAAAAAGUGAGCCCAGGAAGGACUCUGUUAAUACUUCCCUAGCAGACUUGAU
rnacentral:lncRNA from 1 species